rnacentral:rRNA from 1 species
UUAAGCGACUAAGCGUACACGGUGGAUGCCCUGGCAGUCAGAGGCGAUGAAGGACGUGCUAAUCUGCGAUAAGCGCCGGUAAGGUGAUAUGAACCGUUAUAACCGGCGAUUUCCGAAUGGGGAAACCCAGUGUGACUCGUCACACUAUCAUUAACUGAAUCCAUAGGUUAAUGAGGCGAACCGGGGGAACUGAAACAUCUAAGUACCCCGAGGAAAAGAAAUCAACCGAGAUUCCCCCAGUAGCGGCGAGCGAACGGGGAGGAGCCCAGAGCCUGAAUCAGCAUGUGUGUUAGUGGAAGCGUCUGGAAAGGCGCGCGAUACAGGGUGACAGCCCCGUACACAAAAGCGCAUGUGCUGUGAGCUCGAUGAGUAGGGCGGGACACGUGGUAUCCUGUCUGAAUAUGGGGGGACCAUCCUCCAAGGCUAAAUACUCCUGACUGACCGAUAGUGAACCAGUACCGUGAGGGAAAGGCGAAAAGAACCCCGGCGAGGGGAGUGAAAAAGAACCUGAAACCGUGUACGUACAAGCAGUGGGAGCACAGGUUUACCUGUGUGACUGCGUACCUUUUGUAUAAUGGGUCAGCGACUUAUAUUCUGUAGCAAGGUUAACCGUAUAGGGGAGCCGCAGGGAAACCGAGUCUUAAUUGGGCGUUAAGUUGCAGGGUAUAGACCCGAAACCCGGUGAUCUAGCCAUGGGCAGGUUGAAGGUUGGGUAACACUAACUGGAGGACCGAACCGACUAAUGUUGAAAAAUUAGCGGAUGACCUGUGGCUGGGGGUGAAAGGCCAAUCAAACCGGGAGAUAGCUGGUUCUCCCCGAAAGCUAUUUAGGUAGCGCCUCGUGAAUUCAUCUCCGGGGGUAGAGCACUGUUUCGGCUAGGGGGCCAUCCCGGCUUACCAACCCGAUGCAAACUGCGAAUACCGGAGAAUGUUAUCACGGGAGACACACGGCGGGUGCUAACGUCCGUCGUGAAGAGGGAAACAACCCAGACCGCCAGCUAAGGUCCCAAAGUCAUGGUUAAGUGGGAAACGAUGUGGGAAGGCCCAGACAGCCAGGAUGUUGGCUUAGAAGCAGCCAUCAUUUAAAGAAAGCGUAAUAGCUCACUGGUCGAGUCGGCCUGCGCGGAAGAUGUAACGGGGCUAAACCAUGCACCGAAGCUGCGGCAGCGACGCUUAUGCGUUGUUGGGUAGGGGAGCGUUCUGUAAGCCUGUGAAGGUGGCCUGUGAGGGUUGCUGGAGGUAUCAGAAGUGCGAAUGCUGACAUAAGUAACGAUAAAGCGGGUGAAAAGCCCGCUCGCCGGAAGACCAAGGGUUCCUGUCCAACGUUAAUCGGGGCAGGGUGAGUCGACCCCUAAGGCGAGGCCGAAAGGCGUAGUCGAUGGGAAACGGGUUAAUAUUCCCGUACUUGGUGUUACUGCGAAGGGGGGACGGAGAAGGCUAUGUUGGCCGGGCGACGGUUGUCCCGGUUUAAGCGUGUAGGUGUGUGUUCCAGGUAAAUCCGGUUCACUUUAACACUGAGGCGUGACGACGAGGCACUACGGUGCUGAAGCAACAAAUGCCCUGCUUCCAGGAAAAGCCUCUAAGCAUCAGGUAACAUCAAAUCGUACCCCAAACCGACACAGGUGGUCAGGUAGAGAAUACCAAGGCGCUUGAGAGAACUCGGGUGAAGGAACUAGGCAAAAUGGUGCCGUAACUUCGGGAGAAGGCACGCUGACACGUAGGUGAAGUGAUUUACUCAUGGAGCUGAAGUCAGUCGAAGAUACCAGCUGGCUGCAACUGUUUAUUAAAAACACAGCACUGUGCAAACACGAAAGUGGACGUAUACGGUGUGACGCCUGCCCGGUGCCGGAAGGUUAAUUGAUGGGGUCAGCGCAAGCGAAGCUCCUGAUCGAAGCCCCGGUAAACGGCGGCCGUAACUAUAACGGUCCUAAGGUAGCGAAAUUCCUUGUCGGGUAAGUUCCGACCUGCACGAAUGGCGUAAUGAUGGCCAGGCUGUCUCCACCCGAGACUCAGUGAAAUUGAACUCGCUGUGAAGAUGCAGUGUACCCGCGGCAAGACGGAAAGACCCCGUGAACCUUUACUAUAGCUUGACACUGAACAUUGAGCCUUGAUGUGUAGGAUAGGUGGGAGGCUUUGAAGUGUGGACGCCAGUCUGCAUGGAGCCGACCUUGAAAUACCACCCUUUAAUGUUUGAUGUUCUAACGUGGACCCGUAAUCCGGGUUGCGGACAGUGUCUGGUGGGUAGUUUGACUGGGGCGGUCUCCUCCUAAAGAGUAACGGAGGAGCACGAAGGUUGGCUAAUCCUGGUCGGACAUCAGGAGGUUAGUGCAAUGGCAUAAGCCAGCUUGACUGCGAGCGUGACGGCGCGAGCAGGUGCGAAAGCAGGUCAUAGUGAUCCGGUGGUUCUGAAUGGAAGGGCCAUCGCUCAACGGAUAAAAGGUACUCCGGGGAUAACAGGCUGAUACCGCCCAAGAGUUCAUAUCGACGGCGGUGUUUGGCACCUCGAUGUCGGCUCAUCACAUCCUGGGGCUGAAGUAGGUCCCAAGGGUAUGGCUGUUCGCCAUUUAAAGUGGUACGCGAGCUGGGUUUAGAACGUCGUGAGACAGUUCGGUCCCUAUCUGCCGUGGGCGCUGGAGAACUGAGGGGGGCUGCUCCUAGUACGAGAGGACCGGAGUGGACGCAUCACUGGUGUUCGGGUUGUCAUGCCAAUGGCACUGCCCGGUAGCUAAAUGCGGAAGAGAUAAGUGCUGAAAGCAUCUAAGCACGAAACUUGCCCCGAGAUGAGUUCUCCCUGAGACUUAGAGUCUCCUGAAGGAACGUUGAAGACGACGACGUUGAUAGGCCGGGUGUGUAAGCGCAGCGAUGCGUUGAGCUAACCGGUACUAAUGAACCGUGAGGCUUAACCUU